GAACUCGCGAUGAGAAAGAAGAGUAGCGCGAAGGGACGUCUCCAGAAAGCCGGUGGUCGAUGCGAACCGGUGUCGUGCCUUGCGUGAAUGGGCUUUUGAGCGUUCAGACCGACAUGUAGGCUCUGACGGGUCCUCCCGUUAUCGGGGACAGCGAAUGAUGGUUCGCGAUGAGUGGGAAGACAAGGCGUCUUUCAACGAAGGUGGCAACACGGGGAAUCUCCUCGUCCUUCAU
rfam:Exiguobacterium sp. AT1b, complete genome.